rnacentral:lncRNA from 1 species
CCCAACAAUAUAGUAAGGCCUUAGGUUUUCACUUCCUGUAGGACAAAAAUCUUGUAAAUCUCUUAACUUUUCUUAACUAUUUGUUCAGUGUUGGACACAUUGAAUUAGCUGCCCUCACCAAGCCCAGCCAAAAUGGAAUAUUUGUGAGCAAAAGAAUUAUUACUUUAUUUUUAAGCCACUAGGUUUUAGGGUAAUUUAUAAUGAUACAAUAGAUAGCUGAAACAAACACAGCUUGAAAGAUAGGCAAACUAGAACUGAAACUCAGUUUUACUAAUACCUUAUUCAAAAUUCUUUCAACAUUAUCAUUUUUCUUCCUCCUCCCCCACCAGUUGUAGUAGAGGAAAAUGAAAGAAUAGAUAUCCUAUCCUUAAGAAUGUAGGAAGAGAAAAAUAUGACUAGUGAUUCAAUUACUUCAUUCUAACAGUUUGUCACAAAUAUUUUUAAAGUCACUAUUGUGGAACUGUUGGAAUUCUGAGUCCUGUUUUAGAAAUGUUUAAUAAUUGACUUUCUUUUCUGAUUAGAAAUUUGUAUGUAAUGCACAAAACAUUUGGAAGCCAAGUCAUUGGUAUUGUUAUGUGCUUAAGACGGAGUCUUGCUCUGUCUCCCAGGCUGGAGUGCAGUGGUGCGAUCUUGGCUCACUGCAAGCUCCACCUCCCGGGUUCAUGCCAUUCUCCUGCCUCAGCCUCCCAAGUAGCUGGGACUACAGGCGCCUGCCGCUACGCCCGGCUAAUUUUUUGUAUUUUUUAGUAGAGACGGGGUUUCACUGUGUUAGCCAGGAUGGUCUCGAGCUCCUGACCUCGUGAUCCACCCACCUCGGCGUCUCAAAGUGCUGGGAUUACAAGCGUGAGCCACCGCGCCCGGCCCAUUAAGUUGAUUUUUUAAAGUCAACAUUAGUUUAUCUUAGAGUUGCCUAUUAAAAUAAUUAGAGGAUCACUAUUCAUCACACUAAAAACAGUGUAUUUUAGAGUUGGAAUAUAUGUGUGGAAACUAAACACUGGCUACAAGGAUGAAAAGAUUAGAGAAGAAAGACUUCAUGAAGUAUCAGUGCCUCAUUUAUAGCAAUGCUAUGUGCAUAAAUGAGCCUCUUAAAAAUGAUCCACAAAGUAAAUGAUAUUUCAAUAGUAAAUAUCACAAGACAACAAAUCCAUUAUAUGAAAUUAAAAUGAAAAUGCUAUUUUGCCAUUAAAAUGCUAAAAUACAGUCUUAAACAUAUAAGAAAUGGGUAUUCCUACAUAGUGUUGACAGGAAUAUAAAUUUUAUAACUUUGUAGAAAGUUAUUACCCUGUUUGUAUAAAAAUGUUGGAAAUAUUCUUGUAGUAAUUCCACUGAAGGAAGUAUAUUCUAAGGGAACAGUCACACAACAACAAAGAUCUCUGUACAAAGACAUUUACAAAAGCAUUAAUAGAGAAAACACUUUUUAAAAAUUACUCUAUAUAAGGAUAUUGGUUAAUUUUGGUUGGUGUAUUUUUAUAAUAUACACAGCCAUUAUGAAUUAGGUUUAUUUUCAGUAGUAGUUAUUGAUGUGGAAAGUAUACAAUAUUAAAUAGGAAAAGCAAAUUUCUUGGAUAUGGAGCAAUGAUAAUGAUCCCUUAUCUUCGAAUUUUCUCAGUGAUCCACCCACGUUGGCCUCCCAAAGUGCUGGGAUUACAGGUGUGAGCCGCUGCCCCUGGCCCUAAAUAGAUUUUAAAUAAGUUUUCUGGAUGCACACACUAGUAAACACAAAUGCCAAAGACUUGCCUUCCAAUUCUCUGUCUACCUCUAACUCAGGCUGUUGUCUUGGCACAGUUAAACAACUUUUCUAGCCUCAAUAUUUUCAUCUUCAAAAUCAAAAAUAAAAUGUAUUACAUAUGGAUCUAUGACAAAUAGUGAUAUAUUCCAUGUGCACGUUAUCAUUAAACAUGAAUUAACCAAUAUUUAAAUCGUAUUAAUUAUAAAUUAAUAUAGAGUGGACUUUCUUCUUUAUACUUGUUUUGGCUAUUUCCCUAACUUUCAUUUCCAUAUAAAUCACAAGAUCCAUCUUGUGAACUUUCAUAAUCAUAUACACAAUAUGUACUUUAUACAUGACACAUUUACAGUUAUUUCCAAUAUGUUAUGCAUCCAUAGAUGGGCAAUGCAUGUUCGCUUUUGAUAACACAUAGCAGCAGGCAGCCGCCGCUACGCCCCGCUAAUUUUUUGUAAUUUUUAGUAGAGACGGGGUUUCACUGUGUUGGCCAGGAUGAUCUCAAUCUCCUGUGUCUUUAACUCUUCUUAAUUCCCCACUGAUGACGAAAAUGAUAGAAAGCAAUAAACCAGAUUUGAAAUUCAGAGUGAAACAUCUAAGAUCGUCUGCAGUGCAGUGGCACGCUCUCUGCAACCUCUGUCUCCCGGGUUCAAACCAUUCUCCUGCCUCAAUCUCCAGAGUGGCUGAUAUUACAGGAUUCCACCACCAAACCCAGGUUUAUAUGUGCAACUUGACAUUCCAAACAAAUACUUCAAGUCAAAAUAUUCCAAGCCGAAAUUCCUUCCAAACAUGCAUUUCAGCCUGGUUAUCUCUUGAAGAGAGAAACACCAGGGAAGCUUCUGCACAGAGUAAAGACCAAGUGAGGACAUAAGAAGAUGGUCGUCUUCAAGCAAGUCUUAGUAACAUUGAAAUAGCCUUUCUCACUUGCCAAAAAUAUCUAUGAUAGGCCGGGAGCGGCGGCUCAUGCCUGUAAUCCCAGCACUUUGGGAGGCCGAGAGGGGUGGAUCACGAGGUCAGGAGAUCGAGACCAUCCUGGCUAACAUGGUGAAACCCCGUCUCUACUAAAAAUACAAAAAAAUUAGCCGGGCAUGGUGGCGGGCGCCUGUAGUCCCAGCUACUCAGGAGGCUGAGGCAGGAGAAUGGCGUGAACCCAGGAGCGAAAAAAACCACACUUAUGUGAACUGCAUACUUAAUGGAGAUUCUGCAGAUCCAUCUGAAAUAUAAAGCUACAUGUGAAAGUCUGUAUAUUUUGGGAACAUAUAUAAAAACUCUAAAUCCCUGUUCUGGAGGAUGGCAAAAGUUGAAAAUUGGAGACAGAAUUAAAUUAUAAUGGUAACAGGACUAGUUAGAUGGUGGAAUUUUCAACCUGGCAAAUCUGCUUUUUCAAGACCAGUCUUCAUUUGGAAGGAGUAAUACACAGAGACUUGGGGAUCAGGUACUCCUGAGUGAUUCACACACACAAAAAGCUUUAAUUUCCGGAUUUUCCUGCAUCUGCGGGGCCCAUAAAAGUAUCCCAAGCUUCUCUGUUAAAGUGUAGCAUUCCCUCUUUCUUAAAUAUGAUUCAAAGACCUUGCAAGAUGGCACCAAAUCCAUUAUCUAUACUCACCUUCCUUUCUUCUAACCUGAGCCAUAAAUAAGAUUAGUCACAAAACAUCCUACCAAGAAAAGUAUUAUGCCUAUUAAAAGAAGAAAGGAACUAUACCCGGAAGAUGCUACAAGAGAAUUACGGGCCUGGAUCUUGACAUACUGAUCAAGAGGAGUAAAACAGAAGGUUUGAUAACAAAGCGUUCAUCCAUAUGUGAGCAUACUCCCACAGUACAAGAGUUAGCACCUUGACAAGCAACCCAAGGAAAGGUGUUAAUUGCUGUUAGAAUAGCUUUUAGAACUUUGGAUAAUGUGAUGGGCUACACUAGGAAAUUAGAAAUCUAGAAUGACUAAGUAGGUGGUGAAAGGAGAAAAAAAAAAGCUCAGAAAAUUGAAUGUGCUAGAGUAGGUGUACUAUAUAAGGACUAAAAUCAAUCAAACAAACAAAAAACACCCGUCCACUAUGUUCUGUGGUAGGGCUUGAAAGUCACUUUUUAUCAAGGCAAUAAAAAAUAUGAUGAGGGUGACCUUGAUGCCAUUUAAAGUGUCAUAUGGUGACUGUCUUCUGUAGACUAGAGCUUGUGGUAGGAGAUGCUAUUACAGACAAAAGAUUCUUUACAUCAAAGUAUCUAAUAAGAUUCUGCAGUAAUGGAGGACAGGGAGCAAUGCUUAACCAUCUUAAAUAAGGUGGAUACAAUUAUAAAAUCCGUGACAAAAGUCAGAGUGGCAGCAAAUUUGACUUGAACCUCAGAGAGUUAUGGGAUCGUUAAUCAAAGAUGAUGUUCUUAGGGUCAAGGAAGACUGGAAGCUAUCAAGAAUGCUCAAUCCAUGGGAAUCAAGAACAAUCAAAGCUGAAUCUGACAAUCUUCGCCAGAUUCUGGACUUCAGUCUACAUUAUUUCCAGGGAUCUAUUGAUUAAAGGAAAAGUUAAGACUCCAAAAGGAACAAACCUGAAACAUGCAUCAAUCUCAAAGUGACCUAGAGUCAUUGACUUUGGUAAUUGGUGAAUAUCCAGACAUUUUGAGACCUGUUGCACCCCAAAUUUAAUUAUGAUCACUGUAGAAGUAUGACUAUCAUGAGAACAGAUAAUAAAUAAAUUCCUAGACCAGAUCUUAUUAUUCCCAACUGAGAAAUCUAUGAUUAGAAUUACAUUCUUGGUAGUUGACAGAACAUGUCCCCAGCUCUGCACGCACAAACACACACACACAGAGACACACACACAUACACAACAUGCACUGUUUCCUUGGAGAGUGAGUUAAGUCUAUAAUAGUGGGAAAAGUCAACUGGAAGGCUCUGAACUGAUUCCCCCAUCAUGAAUGUUAUACGAUAAAAUUGUAAAAUAAAAAUAUUACAUCCAAGAGAGAUGACAGACAUUAUUACCUACUUUAAUGACCUAAAAUAUCAACAGUUAGUAGUACCCUAAUUUCUCCAUGUAAUUCAUCACUGUAACUUUUCCAAAAUUGAUACAUUGUCUAGAUGAUGAAAGUAGAGUACCACAGACUCAAGCAAAGGGAAGCUUUAAGUGCAAAUGUUGUGCAGCAAGCUAUAUUUGAGAAAGCACAUUAACAGGAUCUCUGGUACAAUGUGUGCUGUUUGUAAUCUGUCAAAUGCCUUAUUUUCCAUCCCUAUCAGGAAUAAAGAUAAGACAAUUUAAACAUUAAGUGGGACAGCUAACAGUUUACAUUUACAGUUCUACUGUAGGGCUACCUAUGUUAAAUGUCCUGCCUUCAGUCAUAAUACACAGUCAUGCUUCACUUAAUUGCGGGAUAGUUCUAAGAAAUGUGUUUCUAAGCAUUACCAUCAUUGUGCAAUAUUCAUAGAGUGUACUUAGGCUAACCUAGAUGGUAUUGCCUACUAUACACCUAGGCUAUAUGGUAUAGCCUAUUGCUCCUAGGCAAAUCAUCCUAUCCACUUGAUUAUUAAAAUCCCCACCUGCUGAGGUCACACUUUGGUGAACAUUCACAUGACACACAAACAUCUUCAUGUUUUUUGCCCAUUUACAGGGGUCUAUCCACCUACCUCUUCCUUGUUUUUCUUUGUCACCAAUUUUCCAGUGGUGUUCCUUUCAACUACUUGCCCAUCCAGCUAAAACACUGACUACAGCCUGUGAUUUAAUAUAUAAUCACAUAUUCACCAUUGUCCUUCAGGGAUUUCUCAGAAAGGGGUUGUCCUGCUCUUGCUGUCCACUUUGAGGGCAGCCUGAAUAUUAUGCACAGUUAUUUGUAAAUCAGGCUGUAGUCUUCUCUUUGUUUGUCAAUUGAAUGUAAAGAAUUCUCCACAAGGCCAGUGAUGCAGGCCUUUCUGUUUUGCAAAAGAAAAGACAGCAUAGCAGGAGUGGGGACCAUGGGCAUUUGAGCCACUUUAUGCAAUUUGUGCGUUCAGGGCCUACUCAGACAUGGCUACUUGUAUACUAUUUCUGUUUUUUUUUGUUGUUGUUGUUGUUGUUUUAUGUGCAUUCCCAAUUAUGGCUUAGUAGGUCAGAUAUCACCCAGUUCAUUAUGGACAUCUCAGGCUGUCUGGUAACUUGAUGGCCCAUAGUCAAAUAUUUAGUUUCUAAGGCCCAGUGGCCAGCCAAAAGCUAUGUCUCAAAAGGAAAGCCAUUUUUAAAUUUAUAAAGAUUAGAAACAAACCCUCAACCAUGCCACAUAUCCACAUGGGUGUAAAGACAUACAAACUCUUUUGAAUAUGAAUAUUCUACCUCUUACUUUACAAAGCAUUUCCCUUAAAACAAUGGUUUUAUUUAAUUAAAUACAUUUGUUCAGAACAUAUGCACAGUAUUUGCCACUUCUUUGGUUUUUGAGAUAGAGGAACACUAGGUAUAGACAA